UUGAUUGAUUCAAUCGUGACUCGGACGCAGAGAUGCAGCGUUGUGCGGUCCGCCGGGGGCCCCGACGCCCGAAGGCCGGGUCGCCCCCGAGGCAACUGGGUCGGAUAACAUGGGGUGGGAGGUCGGGCCCGGGGGGCCCUCGCUCGGUAAUGAUCCCUCCGCAGGUUCACCUACGGAGA
rnacentral:misc_RNA from 1 species